UGGGGUCCUCAGCACAGGAAAGACAUGGACCUGCUGGAAUGGGUCCAGAGCAGGACACAAAGAUCAUCAGAGAGGUGAUGCACCUCUCCUAUGAAUACAGGAUGAGAGAGCUGGGGUUGUUCAGCCUGGAGAAGAGAAGGCUUCAGGGAGACCUUAUAGCAGCCUUCCAGUUCCUAAAAAUAGGU